AAACUGUACAGCAUGACUGAUUCGGAGACAGCCCUCAACACUCGCCCAGUCGUGUCGAGAGGAUCGGUGUCUUUGUAGAUUACACGGAAUCGAGCACCCGGGCCAGACUGACACUUUCCGGAGCCUGUCCGAGACGGAACUCGAGCCUAGGAAUCAUAGGUCCAGGUCCGGCUGAAGUGACAGGCCAUCAAAACUGUACAGCAUGACUGAUUCGGAGACAGCCCUCAACACUCGCCCAGUCGUGUCGAGAGGAUCGGUGUCUUUGUAGAUUACACGGAAUCGAGCACCCGGGCCAGACUGACACUUUCCGGAGCCUGUCCGAGACGGAACUCGAGCCUAGGAAUCAUAGGUCCAGGUCCGGCUGAAGUGACAGGCCAUCAAAACUGUACAGCAUGACUGAUUCGGAGACAGCCCUCAACACUCGCCCAGUCGUGUCGAGAGGAUCGGUGUCUUUGUAGAUUACACGGAAUCGAGCACCCGGGCCAGACUGACACUUUCCGGAGCCUGUCCGAGACGGAACUCGAGCCUAGGAAUCAUAGGUCCAGGUCCGGCUGAAGUGACAGGCCAUCAAAACUGUACAGCAUGACUGAUUCGGAGACAGCCCUCAACACUCGCCCAGUCGUGUCGAGAGGAUCGGUGUCUUUGUAGAUUACACGGAAUCGAGCACCCGGGCCAGACUGACACUUUCCGGAGCCUGUCCGAGACGGAACUCGAGCCUAGGAAUCAUAGGUCCAGGUCCGGCUGAAGUGACAGGCCAUCAAAACUGUACAGCAUGACUGAUUCGGAGACAGCCCUCAACACUCGCCCAGUCGUGUCGAGAGGAUCGGUGUCUUUGUAGAUUACACGGAAUCGAGCACCCGGGCCAGACUGACACUUUCCGGAGCCUGUCCGAGACGGAACUCGAGCCUAGGAAUCAUAGGUCCAGGUCCGGCUGAAGUGACAGGCCAUCAAAACUGUACAGCAUGACUGAUUCGGAGACAGCCCUCAACACUCGCCCAGUCGUGUCGAGAGGAUCGGUGUCUUUGUAGAUUACACGGAAUCGAGCACCCGGGCCAGACUGACACUUUCCGGAGCCUGUCCGAGACGGAACUCGAGCCUAGGAAUCAUAGGUCCAGGUCCGGCUGAAGUGACAGGCCAUCAAAACUGUACAGCAUGACUGAUUCGGAGACAGCCCUCAACACUCGCCCAGUCGUGUCGAGAGGAUCGGUGUCUUUGUAGAUUACACGGAAUCGAGCACCCGGGCCAGACUGACACUUUCCGGAGCCUGUCCGAGACGGAACUCGAGCCUAGGAAUCAUAGGUCCAGGUCCGGCUGAAGUGACAGGCCAUCAAAACUGUACAGCAUGACUGAUUCGGAGACAGCCCUCAACACUCGCCCAGUCGUGUCGAGAGGAUCGGUGUCUUUGUAGAUUACACGGAAUCGAGCACCCGGGCCAGACUGACACUUUCCGGAGCCUGUCCGAGACGGAACUCGAGCCUAGGAAUCAUAGGUCCAGGUGUGGCAAAAGACUUAAAGCUCAUGUCUGACGAUCACUUUUUUUGAGUCAGGAAUUCAAGUGUGUUGUUUUUCCACGCAAGCAAGCCCUUUUGUUGGGUGAAAUGACAUCAGAAAUUCUGCCUCUACAUGGAUUUUACCUAAAAUGUGCCAAAAAAAAAGAAAAAAGUUUGUUCGAAACCUGUUCAAAUCCUGCUUUGAUGCACAAAUAUUGCCAUUGAUGAUUUUUGUCACUUAUUUAGUCAUCUGUUACAUCAACUUUGCCUAUGAGAAUCGAAAGUGAUGACUUGUAUGAAGUCUAAGUGCUGCAUGUAUGAUGAAACCAAGUUUGGCUUUUCUACCAUAAUUCUUGACGCGAAACGCUGUUAUGCAUGACGCUUUCAACGGCAACUUUUAUGAAUAAAUCUGUGUGUCAUUGUA